rnacentral:rRNA from 1 species
UACAGAGGUCUCAAGCGUUGUUCGGAUUCAUUGGGCGUAAAGGGCGCGUAGGUGGCCCGCUAAGUCGAACGUGAAAUCCCCGAGCUCAACUCGGGAACUGCGUCCGAUACUGGUGGGCUUGAAUCCGGGAGAGGGAUGCGGAAUUCCAGGUGUAGCGGUGAAAUGCGUAGAUAUCUGGAGGAACACCGGUGGCGAAGGCGGCAUCCUGGACCGGCAUUGACGCUGAGGCGCGAAAGCUAGGGGAGCAAACGGG